rnacentral:sRNA from 1 species
ACGCCCUGCUGGCGGACUUGGAGUCUACCACCUCCCACAUCUCCAAACGGCCUGUGUUCUUGUCGGAGGAGACCCCCUACUCAUACCCAACUGGAAACCACACAUACCAGGAGAUUGCCGUGCCACCCCCCGUCCCCCCACCCCCGUCCAGCGAGGCCCUCAAUGGCACAAUCCUUGACCCCUUAGACCAGUGGCAGCCCAGCGGCUCCCGAUUCAUCCACCAGCAGCCUCAGUCCUCAUCACCUGUGUACGGCUCCAGUGCCAAAACUUCCAGUGUCUCCAACCCUCAGGACGGUGUUGGCUCUCCGUGCUCCCGAGUGGGUGAGGAGGAGCACGUCUACAGCUUCCCCAACAAGCAGAAAUCAGCUGAGCCUUCACCCACCGUAAUGAGCACGUCCCUGGGCAGCAACCUUUCUGAACUCGACCGCCUGCUGCUGGAACUGAACGCUGUACAGCAUAACCCACCAGGCUUCCCUGCAGAUGAGGCCAACUCAAGCCCCCCGCUUCCUGGGGCCCUGAGCCCCCUCUAUGGUGUCCCAGAGACUAACAGCCCCUUGGGAGGCAAAGCUGGGCCCCUGACGAAAGAGAAGCCUAAGCGGAAUGGGGGCCGGGGCCUGGAGGACGUGCGGCCCAGUGUGGAGAGUCUCUUGGAUGAACUGGAGAGCUCCGUGCCCAGCCCCGUCCCUGCCAUCACUGUGAACCAGGGCGAGAUGAGCAGCCCGCAGCGCGUCACCUCCACCCAACAGCAGACACGCAUCUCGGCCUCCUCUGCCACCAGGGAGCUGGACGAGCUGAUGGCUUCGCUGUCGGAUUUCAAGGGCUCCUGGCCCCUGGAGGAGGUUGUACUUCUUGUCUCCAUCAGCUCAUCUGUCCAGGAGGGAGAAAAGUACCCCCAUCCCUGUGCUGCCAGACACCGUACCCCGAGCCUCAGGAGUCCUGACCAGCCCCCUCCCUGUGUCCACAGUUCAUGGCCCAGGGGAAGACAGGGAGCAGCUCACCCCCUGGGGGGCCCCCGAAGCCCGGGAGCCAGCUAGACAGCAUGCUGGGGAGCCUGCAGUCUGACCUGAACAAGCUGGGGGUCGCCACGGUCGCCAAAGGAGUCUGCGGGGCCUGCAAGAAGCCCAUCGCCGGGCAGGUUGUGACCGCCAUGGGGAAGACGUGGCACCCCGAGCACUUCGUCUGCACCCACUGCCAGGAGGAGAUCGGAUCCCGGAACUUCUUCGAGCGGGAUGGACAGCCCUACUGUGAAAAGGACUACCACAACCUCUUCUCCCCGCGCUGCUACUACUGCAACGGCCCCAUCCUGGAUAAAGUGGUGACAGCCCUUGACCGGACGUGGCACCCUGAACACUUCUUCUGUGCGCAGUGUGGAGCCUUCUUUGGUCCCGAAGGGUUCCACGAGAAGGAUGGCAAGGCCUACUGCCGCAAGGACUACUUCGACAUGUUCGCACCCAAGUGUGGCGGCUGCGCCCGGGCCAUCCUGGAGAACUAUAUCUCAGCCCUCAACACGCUGUGGCAUCCUGAGUGCUUUGUGUGCCGGGAAUGCUUCACGCCAUUCGUGAACGGCAGCUUCUUCGAGCACGACGGGCAGCCCUACUGUGAGGUGCACUACCACGAGCGGCGCGGCUCGCUGUGUUCUGGCUGCCAGAAGCCCAUCACCGGCCGCUGCAUCACCGCCAUGGCCAAGAAGUUCCACCCCGAGCACUUCGUCUGUGCCUUCUGCCUCAAGCAGCUCAACAAGGGCACCUUCAAGGAGCAGAACGACAAGCCUUACUGUCAGAACUGCUUCCUCAAGCUCUUCUGCUAG